AGACGCGCGUACUCGUACCUACGGUUUUAUAGGUAAGCCGAUAAUAGCCUAUUUUGGAAUUUAAAAAUUCCUAUAGUAGGUGUAACUCGGUUACGCUUAGCGGAUUACCACUACUUACUCCUUCCAUUAUUUUGUGAAGUUGACCGAAAGUUUAACAGAAUAUUACUUUUAUAGGUUUGUAAAAUUGGAGAGCCGAGUAACGAACCGUAAUUAACCACCCAUUGGUGGUUUUCCGGACCUCUUAACUACACACUAAAUAUUAAAUAGAUUAAUUUACGGUAACGUAGUUCUGAUAGCGUAAAAUAACCGCCGUAAAACAUAAUCGGACGACGGAGAUAUUUGGAGUAAACGGCUUAUCUAAAAGUAGUUAUUAACUGGUGGUUAAAGUCGGUUACGGCCGUAGUUUCCGCGGCUGUUUUCUAUCGUUGUUUGUUUAAACUCGGCGGCUAGGCUCUACUACUCCGGUUACACCUAACCGAAACUUUCUUAAACACUUCCAGGUUACCGCGUUCCCGGUGGUUAUAGCUAUAACGACGCCGGAGUAACAAACGCGAUACCCGGCUUAGAAAAACUCCCAUUUAGAUCCGAACGUUGCCUUCCGACGUACGUUUACCCGUCGUCCGGUCCGAACAUCGGCUACGCGCGUUUUAACCACGUCACCGCGCACCCACGGUUACGCCUAGAUUCCAUGUCGGCAUCGACCGAUAUAAUUCGGUGCGCCCACCGAUACAAAUCGAACGACAACGGUAUCUGCCCGUCUUCCGUGUCAAAUUCCGAGCCUAGUUAAGCCAGCCGGGCGGCUACCGGCGGAUGGCGGAAGCUAUAAAGACGUCAACCACUCCACCUUUAUCGGCAUCGAUAUUUAUAUAUAUAUUUAGUCCGUCGCGUUAACCGAAAGACCGUACGUUUACCCUCCGGGCCUAGCUAAUUUUUACCACCGUCACGCGCCUCAAGGCCGCCCGAGUAAUGGGAAACGUAGCCGGAGAAGACGCCGGGACUGGGGCUAACCGGUCACCCCUCCCACUCCCAGAUGGAAAGGUCGGAAGUCGGACGGGUCUAGGUCCGACCCAGUCCCGCCCGGCCAAACCUAGACGAGAAAAAAGACCGAUUCGACUUUUGUCCAUCUCCAUCAACGGGAUCCUUUAUAAAGAAAAACGGAUUUUGGAUAUGGGCCGUUUGUUAUUUUGCCGCCCGAAGUAGGCCAACCGCCAUAAGUUAUCCGGCUUACACAAUUACAUUUCGACUACAUUCUACUAGAGGAAACAGGCGUUUGUCUAUAGGAGACAGGCGCACCAUCUAGACAAUAGUGUCCUUGACACGGUCAUUUUUUCUAAACCCGUACAUAAUAAUAUACGAGACAAGAAUGUCGAGCUUUUAAGUCCUACUUUUUAAAAGUUUCAUUCUUCGGCCGGUGCCCGUACCUGACGGCCAGUCGAGGGACUUACUUCCAGGCCUGCCAAAUUUUACUUUCCGGCCCGGCGGUGCUGGUAUUUCCCCCACCUACUCUCUUCGGGCCCGUUAAACAUUUGUCGUUUAAUCCGGCUACAGACGAUAAGUCCCCCCGCCCCUCCAGAGCUUUACUAAGGCCGUACCUGCCCGUACGUCGAC
rnacentral:lncRNA from 1 species